UACGUAGGGUGCAAGCGUUGUCCGGAAUUAUUGGGCGUAAAGAGCUCGUAGGCGGUUUGUCGCGUCUGCUGUGAAAACUCGGGGCUUAACCCCGGGCCUGCAGUGGGUACGGGCAGACUAGAGUGCGGUAGGGGAGACUGGAAUUCCUGGUGUAGCGGUGAAAUGCGCAGAUAUCAGGAGGAACACCGGUGGCGAAGGCGGGUCUCUGGGCCGUAACUGACGCUGAGGCACGAAAGUGUGGGGAUCAAACAGG
rnacentral:rRNA from 1 species